ensembl:miRNA MIR16-2 microRNA 16-2
CAUACUUGUUCCGCUCUAGCAGCACGUAAAUAUUGGCGUAGUGAAAUAAAUAUUAAACACCAAUAUUAUUGUGCUGCUUUAGCGUGACAGGGAUA